AAGAGUAGCUAUAGAGGCCAGAACAAUAGAUGCUAAGUUGAGUUGGGCCUGGUUAAUACCUGAAUGGGGGACCACCUGGGAAUACCAGGUGCUGCGCACA
rnacentral:rRNA from 1 species